AAUGCACUCAAAGUGGUCAAGAGAAAUGUUAAAAUAGAAGAUGAAUAUUUUCGUGGAACUUCUGAAAACGAAGAUAAAGUUGAAAAGUAAUGUAGUCUCGAAUGGGAAUGGAAUUUGUGCUCGCAGAGCAGAUUCAAUCCAUUUUUAGUCGAUUUCCAAACGUUGAGAGGAGCGUGCCCUAACAGUAUCCAAAAGUGCAAUUCAAUCGUCCAGAUUCAAUUCAGAACGUGCUCUAACGGCACUCUAUUUAUAUUGGAAAAAGCAGUGACCGUUGCAAAAGCAGGGUUUCACUUCUUUUAAAUGGGAGGUUUACUAGAGAAGCAAGGCAGAUUGUAUUGGUCUUUCAUUUUUUUCUCUUUUUUUUUUUGGUUUAAUUUUUGUGGGCGUGGCCAUGCCUCAACUCAGUUGUUUUCAUUUGCGUUUGAAUUUCAGUUCUUUUGUAUUUUGUUUAUCUUCUUUUUUCUGUGGGUCGCCAUUUUUUUAUGGACAUGGAGGUAGGCAGCAACAAGGACUCUACGUUCUGGAGUGGCUGAUUGGAGAUAUGACCAGAUAAUGCCAAGACAUUUGGAACUUUCGGGAGGUAGGUCCCCUGAAUAAGUGCAGCAUCACCAUACGUGGAACAAAUCUUCUUCAGUAGAUGAUCCAAAAAGAUGGUCCAAAGGGCAGAGCCAGAGUCGGAUGUGAUUGACUCUGCUUGACCAUUUUAACAGUAUUUAAAUAAACCUCACCCAACCAAUCUUGGUCACCAUGUUGUCGAGUGUCAAGAAAUGUUUGGAGGCUUGAACAAGUAGUUGCUGAAGUCAAAUAAUGAAUGUAAUACUUAAAAUUUCAGGAAAAAAUGUUAGGAAUCUUGAAUGGGUUGCUGAAUGCAACAUUUUAUAUUUCAAAUUGAAGAAAAUGUUGUACUUUUGAAUUAGUUGUUGAAAUCAGUGUUUGUAAAUUGAUAUGUAAACAGAUUUGUUGUUUAAUUCCAAAUUUUUAUUUGGGAGGGGUUGAAUUGGCCCCCUUCCCCAGGCUAUGGGGAACAGGCUAUGGGGAAUGGUCAUUGGCCAUGACCAUUCUUUUCAGUCUAGUGUCUAUGUGUUAAUUUUUAUAUUAUUUUUAAUUGCAUAAAAGAUUUUUUAAUUUUUUUUAUUUCA